AAGCUCGUAGUUGAAUUUCGGGGUUAGUAGGUUGGUCAUGCCUCUGGUAGUGUACUGGUCUCACUGAUUCCUCCUUCCUGAUGAACCGUAAUGCCAUUAAUUUGGUGUUGCGGGGAAUUUGGACUGUUACUUUGAAAAAAUUAGAGUGUUUAAAGCAAGCUAACGCUUGAAUACAUUAGCAUGGAAUAAUGAAAUAGGACGUCCGAUCCUAUUUUGUUGGUUUCUAGGAUUGACGUAAUGAUUAAUAGGGAUAGUUGGG
rnacentral:rRNA from 1 species